GCAGCCGAACGCGGAUCCCUCCGCGUUGCGUCACUUCCGGGAGACUCUGGCCGCGGCGAUUCAAUAUAUCCGGAUGCAACUCUUAUGGCUGCCGUCAGUGAGGGCCCGUAAUGGAGAUCGAGUCAAGGGUUGCCCAGGGGCACUUAGAGCCUUCGGCUUCAAGGAGGCCUCUCAAAGGACAAAGGAUGAGACUUCCUGGCGGCAGAGUGCCCCCCACAAUCCUAGGAACUGUGUCGCCGCGCUUCCCGUUAACUUGCCGCUAAGUUUUUUUAGAAAAGUCGCCCUUCUUGUCAGGCUGGGACCUCACUUCUGACCCAGCCCUUCUUUGUGUACCAAGUUUUUGUUUCCGUCACUUCCCGCAGCCCGGGAGCUCGGCGGGCGAUACUGUGGUAGCUUGGGAGGAAGGGGCGGGCCGGAUGCUGGAACCGAAAGAGGUGGGGCUCGUCGAGGAGUCACGGGCGGCCGAGGCUGGAGUCUCCUAAAUGCAACCUUGAGCUGUACCACCCUUUGGUGCUUGGUCGGUUAACUCGAGGUGCUGCUCACCGUGGAGGCGUUCAGAGCUGGUCAUAAGGCUCUUUCCUGCUGACCCAACCACCCUCAACCACAGCCUGCCCUGCUCCAGAUAGACUGAUCCUAGAAAAUAUCUAGGAUGGGCGUAGUGCAGGUGUCCUAUAGACUUUGUCAUGGAGUGAAACAGAAACAAAUAAUUUAUAUCAAAUACAGAUUAAUUUGAAAAUUUGACAUUUGGAGAUAAUCUCAGUGACUAAAAAGAAGAAAACAGAAAGGCAUGGGACCCUUGAAAGGAGGAACAGAAACAAAAUUUUAAAACCCUCUCAUUACUUACCUACAGCAAAGAUGAAUUUAUAAGCAUCUCAUUUAAACUCUAGGGUUUAAAACCAUCAUAUUAUGCCUAUGCCAGGAGAUUCUAAGCUCAUGUGUUGUGAAGAAUCGAAGCCCAAAGAAGCAGGAGUGAUGGCAGAGAGGUGAACUUCCUUAGAUCUAAACCACUGUAAGUAUUGCUGCAGGUAGAAGUUGAUCCCAAACUUAAGUAAUUCAGACUUGAAUCUAGAUAGCCCUUCCUAAUUAAAAUCACAUAAAGAUCAAUUUAACAAGUUUUGCCAAUAGCAAAUACUUAAAGUUGAAAGCACUAAAGUGGUGUGUAUGACAUAGUUAUCCAGCAUAUUGCCUGAAAAAAGAAGAGGAAACCAAUGUUCCUAGUAUGAAGUGAAAUUCUUCACAAGUUGAAUGACUUAGGAAUUUAGUUGUGUCUCUGGAUGAAUCAUUACAGCUUUCAAGCACCCUGCCAUUUGUGUAGCAACAGCAAUACUGGCAGAAUACUUCAAAGGAAUACUGUAGAAAUUAAUGAAUUUAUUUAUAUUAUGCUUAAAGUUCCUUUGAAGAAAUUAAUACAUCAUAAUUCAAGGAGCAAGAAUGUUUCAUAUUAUCUCCUUGAAAUCUUCAACAUUGGGAAAAAAAUUGCAUACGACCAAUUUCACUGCUCAAAAACCAAGAUAGUGAGGUUGGCCAAUCCAUUUAAGGUCAGAUAAGUUAAAUCAAACCAAAAAUGGAAGCCAAAAGGAAAAUUUAUGUUUGAAUUCCCAAAUUUGCACUUCUAGACCACAACUGACAGAUUUCUGUAUUAUUAAGCAUCUAUGGGAUGUUUAUAUUUAUAAAAUAUUUGGCUACUACAAGUGUGAAAGACUUUGAAUAUUGAUCUUGCAAAGUUAAGAAUAAUCUGAUUCUGAAUAAAUAACCACACUUGGGGUUUUAAUUCAGGGUUCAAAUUUUUUGGAACUUUUUCAUUAUGUAUAGUAAUAAAUAUUCAGAUACAUGGAUAUUAAAAGAUUUCAAAAAGUGUGA